CGGAGGAUCCAAGCGUUAUCCGGAAUUACUGGGCGUAAAGAGUUGCGUAGGUGGCACUGUAAGUCGGUAGUGAAAGCGUGGGGCUCAACCCCAUACGCAUUAUCGAAACUGCAGAGCUAGAGGACAAGAGAGGUCACUGGAAUUCCUAGUGUAGGAGUGAAAUCCGUAGAUAUUAGGAGGAACACCGAUGGCGUAGGCAGGUGACUGGCUUGUUCCUGACACUAAGGCACGAAAGCGUGGGUAGCAAACGGGAUUAGAUACCCCGGUAGUCCACGCCGUAAACGAUGGAUGCUAGCUGUUUGAGGUAUCGACCCCUCAUCGUAGCGAAGCUAACGCGUUAAGCAUCCCGCCUGUGGAGUACGGUCGCAAGACUA
rnacentral:rRNA from 1 species